rnacentral:ncRNA from 2 species
AAAUCAAUCGUCAGCAGCGGUCCCCGGAGACGGGGCGCAAAAGGGAACACGGUGAAAAUCCGUGGCUGUUCCCGCAACUGUAAGGGGGGAGGUCCAUCCCACGACGCCACUGGGUAACCGGGAAGGCGGGAUAGGGCCAGCGAUCCCCGAGUCAGGAGACCUGCCGUUGCCAGUAUCACCCA